AUUUCUUAAACCCGCAUUGAAAUAACGCUUGAUCGCUGGUCAGCUUCGAAAGAUUACAUCAUUAAUUAUUUGUACACGAUUGCACUUGAUAAACCCGACGAGUUGCGAUAAAUUUAGAGGUUUACUUAAGUAAUCUGUUUAUGUUAAAUUCGUUUUAAAUCUUUUGUGCACCCGUUGCACCCACAGUUUGCACCCGCACUGAACCCAAACAAUUAUGAAUACAAAAGGCAUGGGGGUGCACUUGCACCCGCUGCACCCGUGGUUCCGGUAUCCCUGCACGCAGUUGAUAUUCCAGAUAGACUUUGUUGCACAUAGAUUGACAUAGUUGACAUUUCAAACGCACUUUUUAUAUUGUUCGCAUUAUAACUGUAUGUGUGGUUCUGGGAAAGAGUAAGAGACGUGGUACACUACAGGUAUCACCACAACCGCCGAUGCUUCCUCUCGCCCGAGAAAACGUGUCUUGUUUUCGUGUCAAAACUUUCAAGAAUGCGACCACAUUCCUGCUAUUAAAAUGUCAAACAAUUACUAGCUAAUUUCAGCACAAUUUCCCGCAGACCAAUCAGAUGUUGCCAUUUCCAAAUUGUCGAUUUCGCGAGAUUGGGAAUGUAGCAUUCCUGGAUGUUUUGACACGAAAACACGACACGUUUUUUGGGCGAGAGGGAGGAUCCGCGAUUUUUACAUGCACACCUAGUAACAUUUCUUUAGUAACAGAGAAUCUAGUAACAUUUCUCUUGUAACAGAACUCUUACAUUUCUCCUUACAGAAUACAGUUUUCGCAACUUGAAUACAAAAGCCUAAUUUCCAUUCAGUUGGAACAAAUUGUAGUCACCAUGUGAAAUGAUUUAGUUCUUUUCUUUGCUGCAUGCAAAUCGGCCUAUACUGAUUGCAAAGAUAUAUUGACACUCAAUAUACUGUAUAUAUCGGGACAUUCAUGCAAACGUCCCAACGAAAUGGAAACCAGGC